GGAGAGAUGGCCGAGUGGUUGAAGGCGCCGCUCCCGAAAAGCGGUGUGCCCGCAAAGGCACCGUGGGUUCGAAUCCCACUCUCUCCGCCA
rnacentral:tRNA from 1 species